GGGUGCGAUCAUACCAGCGUUAAUGCACCGGAUCCCAUCAAAACUCCGUAGUUAAGUGUGCUUGGGAUAGAAAAAAAC
rnacentral:rRNA from 1 species